rnacentral:rRNA from 1 species
AUUGAACGCUGGCGGCAUGCCUUACACAUGCAAGUACGAACGGUAACGGGCCUUCGGGUGCCGACGAGUGGCGAACGGGUGAGUAAUGCAUCGGAACGUACCUUUCAGUCGGGGGAUAACGUAGCGAAAGUUUACGCUAAUACCGCAUAUUCUGUGAGCAGGAAAGCAGGGGAUCGCAAGACCUUGCGCUGAUUGAGCGGCCGAUGUCAGAUUAGCUAGUUGGUGAGGUAAAGGCUCACCAAGGCGACGAUCCUGUAGCGGGUCUGAGAGGAUGAUCCGCCACACUGGAACUGAGACACGGUCCAGACUCCUACGGGAGGCAGCAGUGGGGAAUUUGGACAAUGGGGGCAACCCUGAUCCAGCCAUGCCGCGUGAGUGAAGAAGGCCUCGGGUUGUAAA